rnacentral:lncRNA from 1 species
GUAAAACUCAUUAAUAAUCCACCCCUUGGUUAGCAUAUAAUUGAGAAAUAACUGUAAGUAUCCUUAGUUGAGCAGCCCACACUGCUGCUCUGCCUACGGAGUAGCCAUUCUUCUAUUCCUUUACUUUCCUAAUAAAUUUGCUUUUGCUUUGCACUGCAGACUUACCCAAAAUUCUUUCUUUUCUUUUUUUUUCUUUUAGACAGAGUCCCCCUCUGUCACCCAGGCUGGAGUGCAGUGGCGCCAUCUCGGCUCACUGCAACCUCCACCUCCUGGGUUCAAGAGAUUCUCCUGCCUCAGCCUCUGGAUUAGCUGGGAUUAUAGGCAUGCACCACUAUGCCCGGCUAAUUUUUGUAUUUUUAGUAAAGAUGGGGGUUUCACCAUGUUGGCCAGGCUGGUCUCGAACUCCUGACCUCAAGUGAUCCUCCUGCCUCAGCCUCCCAAAUUGCCGGAGUUACAGGCAGAAGCCACCACCCCUGGCUCUAAAUUCUUUCUUAUACGAGAUCCAAGAACCCACUCUUCGGUUCUGGAUUGGGACCAUUUCUGGAAGCUUCAUUUCAUUGAAUCACAAAGGGACGAAACUAAGGAAACCCCCAACCCAAAGGAAAUAGACUGAAUCACCAGUUGGCUAACUUUUUGCAAGUGGUGGCGUACCCAG